GAUGAACGCUAGCGGCAGGCUUAACACAUGCAAGUCGAGGGGCAGCGUGGAGCAGCAAUGCUCUGACGGCGACCGGCGGAAGGGUGCGUAACACGUGAGCGACUUGCCCGUCACAGGGGGAUAACCGGCGGAAACGGCGACUAAUACCCCAUACGAUGCGAUGCUGCAUGGCAUUGCAUUGAAAGAUUCAUCGGUGGCGGAUAGGCUCGCGGGACAUUAGCUAGACGGCGGGGCAACGGCCCACCGUGGCGACGAUGUCUAGGGGUUCUGAGAGGAAGGCCCCCCACACUGGGACUGAGACACGGCCCAGACUCCUACGGGAGGCAGCAGUGAGGAAUAUUGGUCAAUGGGCGGAAGCCUGAACCAGCCAUGCCGCGUGAAGGACUAAGGCCCUACGGGUCGUAAACUUCUUUAGACGCAGAGCAAUAAGGUCCACGUGUGGACCGAUGAGAGUAUGCGUAGAAUAAGCAUCGGCUAACUCCG
rnacentral:rRNA from 1 species